rnacentral:snoRNA from 1 species
UCAUGAGGUAGGAAAAUCCUUACUUGUUCCUCCUUUUGGAGGGCAGAUUAGAACAUGAUGAUUGGAGUUGCAUCAUGCAUGAUGAAUAUCUCUGAGUAAUCAGGACUUGCAACAUCCUGAUUACUCCUACUCUUCC